AUCCUGGCUCAGGAUGAACGCUGGCGGCGUGCUUAACACAUGCAAGUCGAACGAAGCACUUUUUCUUGAUUCUUCGGAUGAAAGAGAUAGUGACUGAGUGGCGGACGGGUGAGUAACGCGUGGGUAACCUGCCUCAUACGAGGGGGAUAACAGUUAGAAAUGACUGCUAAUACCGCAUAAGCGCACAGUAUCGCAUGGUACAGUGUAGAAAAACUCCGGUGGUAUGAGAUGGACCCGCGUCUGAUUAGCUAGUUGGUGAGGUAACGGCUCACCAAGGCAACGACCAGUAGCCGGCCUGAGAGGGUGAACGGCCACAUUGGGACUGAGACACGGCCCAAACUCCUACGGGAGGCAGCAGGUGGGGAAUAUUGCACAAUGGGGGAAACCCUGAUGCAGCAACGCCGCGUGAGUGAAGAAGUAUUUCGGUAUGUAAAGCUCUAUCAGCAGGGAAGAAAAUGACGGUACCUGACUAAGAAGCCCCGGCUAACUACGUG
rnacentral:rRNA from 1 species